AAGUACUUUUCAUUAUACAUAACUUUCAGUUGACUUUUAUUAGACGAACAUUUGAUAAAUUGACUUUUGACCAAUGAUAAAAAACCAAACAUGCACCUUAAUCAUCCAACAUUUGAAAAAUUAGUUAGGCUAACAAUUAUAUUAUAAAGAAUAAAUUCCAACUAGUUGCUAAAAAGUCUGCAUUUUUUCCCCCUAGCUGUAAGCAGCGUAUAGUUGAAGUAACUCAGCUGAUUCAGGUCCAAUUCAAAACUUGACUAUUAGAAUCCAACAUGUAUGCAAUUACAUGUCUUCAACUUCAUGCAAUUAUGAGCUUCCAAAAUCUUCUUUUUCAUACAGGUUUUCAACACUGCAUAAUCAUAGGCUUCCAACAUUCCUAAAGGUGUAUGCAAUUUCAAGCUUUUGACAUUGUGUAAUUAUUGUCUUUUUCAUAUGGGUCCCUAACGAAACUUGAUUGUGACAUCAUUUGUUAAGAAUUGAGACUCAAAUGAGAUGCAAUCAUGGGCUACCAACAUUGUGCAAUUACAAUUUUUCAACACUGUAAUAUUAGGCUUCUAACAUUAUCUUUUACGUAUAGGUCCCAACCACGUCUACCAAGGUUCCAACAUUAUAUAAUUAUGGGGUUUUCAUAUAGGUCUCAAUCAAAAUUUGACUGUGAUACCACUUAUUUAGAAAUUGACACUCAAAUGCGUGUGCAAUUACAGGUUUUCAAGUGCAAUUAUAGGCUUUCAAAAUCUUCUUGAUUGUGAUAUCAUAUGUUAGGAAAUGAGACUCAAACAUACAUGCAAUUAUGAGAUUCCAACAUUUUGCAAUUACAUGUUUUCAACACUGCAUAAUUAUGAGCUUCCAACAUUCCUAAAGGUGUGUGCAAUUAUAGGCUUUUGACAUUGUGAAAUUAUGGGCUUUCAAUAUCUCCUUUUUCAUACAAGUCCCUAAUGAAACUUUAUUGUGAUGAUACCAUUUGUAAAGAAUUGGGACUCAAACAUGAUGCAAUUAUGGGUACUAACAUUGUGCAAUUACAGGUUCUAAUACUGUAAUAUCAGGCUUCUAACAUUAUCUUUUACAUAUAGGUCCCAACUGUGUGUGCCAGGCUUCUAAUAUUGUAUACUUAUGAGUCUUUCAUAUAGGUCUCAAGUGAAACUUGACUGUGAUACCACUUAUUUAGGAAUUGAGACUCAAAUAUGUGUGCAAUUAUAGGUUCUAACACUAUAAUAUUGGAUUUCUAACAUUAUCUUUUACAUAUAAGUCCCAACUGUGUGUGCCAGGCUUCCAAUAUUGU